CCAACAGUGUAUCAAUCAACAAACUGUGUGCUCAUAAUCCAAAUAAAUAGAAAAAUCGUGAAAAAUGUUCCAAAUAAUUUUGUCGUUGAUUCUUAUCGUGUUGUGUGUGGCUUUGGUAAACUCUGUUCCAAUAGCGCAACCAAAUGCCGACCCAGAGGCUAGGCCAACAUUGUUUCUGGUAGCAUUGUUAGCACAGCGGGCACAACAGGCAAUUGCAGGAGCUGGAAGAUAAUAACUAUAGUUAUAGGAUAAGCCGAAAUUGUAAUCUUGAAAAAGUCAAAUUGAAUAAACAUUUAAGUUAAA